CAACAGGGAUUGCCCCAGUAGCGGCGAGUGAAGCGGCAAAAGCUCAGAUUUGGAAUCGCUUCGGCGAGUUGUGAAUUGCAGGUUGGCGCCUCUGCGGCGGCGGCGGUCCAAGUCCCUUGGAACAGGGCGCCAUUGAGGGUGAGAGCCCCGUGGGACCGUUUGCCUACGCUCUGAGGCCCUUCUGACGAGUCGAGUUGUUUGGGAAUGCAGCUCUAAGCGGGUGGUAAAUUCCAUCUAAGGCUAAAUACUGGCGAGAGACCGAUAGCGAACAAGUACUGUGAAGGAAAGAUGAAAAGCACUUUGAAAAGAGAGUGAAACAGCACGUGAAAUUGUUGAAAGGGAAGGGUAUUGCGCCCGACAUGGAGCGUGCGCACCGCUGCCCCUCGUGGGCGGCGCUCUGGGCGUGCUCUGGGCCAGCAUCGGUUUUUGCCGCGGGAGAAGGGCGGCGGGCAUGUAGCUCUUCGGAGUGUUAUAGCCUGCCGCCGGCGCCGCGAGCGGGGACCGAGGACUGCGACUUUUGUCUCGGAUGCUGGCACAACGGCGCAACACCGCCCGUCUUGAAACACGGACCUCCUGUGUGAAGUGA
rnacentral:rRNA from 1 species